CACCCCACCAUUUCCCCCAUCCAAGCCCUGGCACUCAGAGCAGCCUUGUGCAAAUCUGAGCUCCCUCCAGCCCAGGCUGCACCUGCGGGUUUCAGCUCCUUGGCUCCAACUCCCACCUGCUUUCCUUGGAGAAGGAGCUGCCCCAGACACAGAGGGAUGUUCAUUUAUUGCCAGCCAACAAAGCCAAGGGAAGGCACAGCUCCAUCAAAUGCAAAAGUCAUUCCUCUGCUGGAUAUUAAAUCCACUUUGCACAGCAGACAGUCUCAGAGCAAUGGAAACACCUUCUGUGCCCAGCACAGAUCCCAAGGGCCCCCCAAACCCUCCCUGCCUCGAUUCUGCCCAGAUUUGCCCUUUGCACACACGAGUCACAGGCUGAAGUCAGGAGCUGCCUCCAUGCCCAGAGGGAGGAAAAGAGGGAAAGUGGAUGAAGAGCUCUCCUGUGCAGAGCCAAGGUCCAAGUGCCCCUGCAGUGGGAACCACAACUCAUCAGGUUUGUGUCCUUUGGGCUCAGGGACUGGUGAUACUCAGAGGCACAGAGAGGUUUCUUGCCAACAAACACAAGUUGAACAUUUGAACAGUUUAAAAACAAUCACAGCUCUUCCCUCAACUCUCUGUGAUGUCCCAGCAGCAUCUGACAUGUCCCCCAUGCCCAAGGGAUUUCUGCACAGGAACAGCUUUGGACAAAGACAUAAAAGAUUGGACAACUUCCUUAAGCUAAAAGCAUGAAACCAAUCAGUUGAGAGUCACUUGAGUGACCAGACAGCAUCUAGAGGAGGAAAUCUGGGAGCAACAGGAAGGACAUUGAUCCAGCUGGUCUAGUGAAGAGAUGUCUUUAGACAUGGCCAUUUCAACAGGAGAGCUGGAAACACCUGAAGGAAGAGGGAGAAGAAAUAAUAAACAGAAUAUUGGUGACACAAGUAGAAGGCAAGGCAGACAUCAGCUGUGUGCCCAUGAACAGGCAGUGCCACUUGUGCCCUGAGGUGCCGAGCUGGGAUUGGAUCUGUCAGAGAGGAGCUGAGGGAGAGCAGAGCACCUUGCAAGCUGCAGGUCCCUGCCAGCCCCGCAGGGCUCCUGUGCCAUCAACAUCUGCUCUGCUCCAGUCUGGAACAGGGCCCAGCACGGUGCCGGGACCAUCAGAGAGCUGAGGUGUGUGCUGGAAUUCCAUGCCCUCCCCAUGGCGCAGCAGCCCUGCAUUUC